UGGCCGCGGUAUUUUGACCGUGCAAAGGUAGCAUAAUCAUUAGUCUAUUAAUUGUGGACUUGUAUGAAUGGUUGGACGAAAUAUUAACUGUCUCAUAUUAAUUAAUAUAAUUUAAAUUUUGAGUUAAAAUGCUUAAAUUUUUUUAUAGGACGAGAAGACCCUAUAGAUCUUUAUUUUUUAAAAUAUUAUUUAUUUUUGAUUAUUUUUUUUAUAAUUUUUUUUUAAUAUUUUGUUGGGGUGACAUAGAUAUAAAUUUAACUAUUUAUUUUUGUUAUUCAAUUAUUUUUGUUUAUUUGACCUUUUAUUAUUGUUAUAAGAUUAGAUACCUUAGGGAUAACAGCGUAAUUCCUUUUGAGAGUUCAUAUCGACAAUGGAGAUUGCGACCUCGAUGUUGGAUUAAGAUUAUAUUUAGGUGUAGGGGCUUAAAUAUUAAGUCUGUUCGACUUUUAAAUUCUUACAUGAUCUGAGUUCAAACCGGAGA
rnacentral:rRNA from 1 species